UACGUAGGGGGCAAGCGUUGUCCGGAAUCAUUGGGCGUAAAGCGCGUGUAGGCGGCUCGGUAAGUCUGCUGUGAAAGUCCAGGGCUCAACCCUGGGAUGCCGGUGGAUACUGUCGAGCUCGAGUCCGGAAGAGGCGAGUGGAAUUCCCGGUGUAGCGGUGAAAUGCGCAGAUAUCGGGAGGAACACCAAUGGCGAAGGCAGCUCGCUGGGACGUGACUGACGCUGAGACGCGAAAGCGUGGGGAGCAAACAGG
rnacentral:rRNA from 1 species